GAUGAAGAACGUAGUGAAAUGCGAUAAGUAAUGUGAAUUGCAGAAUUCAGUGAAUCAUCGAAUCUUUGAACGCACCUUGCGCUCCUUGGUAUUCCGAGGAGCAUGCCUGCUUGAGUGUCAUGAAUCUCUCAAACUCUUAGUUUCAUUACUGAGUGUUUGGAUUUGGAGGUCUAUGCUGGCGCAAGUCAGCUCCUCUUAAAUACAUUAGCUUGGGUCUUGCAUGUCUGGAUCCUUGGUGUGAUAAUUAUCUACGCCAUGAUGUCCCUUCAAGCCCUGCUUCUAAUCGUCUGAAUAAGACAAUUUAUUACUUGACAUCUGACCUCAAAUCAGGUAGGACUACCCGCUGAACUUAAGCAUAUCAAUAAGCGGAGGA
rnacentral:misc_RNA from 1 species